UGCCUCGAAGCUCGGUCGCGCGCAAUGCGUCGGAGCGCAUUUAUUAGAACAAAACCAAUCGGGCGCAGGCUAAUUAUUGGUCUGAGUCCGCGAAAGGUUGGCGAAUCGGAAUAACUAUGCUGAUCGCACGGUCCAGCACCGGCGACGAAUCUUUGAAAUGACUUGCUCAUCAACUUUCGAUGGUACGCUACGUGCUUACCAUGGUGACAACGGUUAACGGAGAAUCAGGGUUCGACUCCGGAGAGGGAGCCUGAGAAACGGCUACCACAUCCAAGGAAGGCAGCAGGCACGCAAAUUACCCACUCCCAGAUCGGGGAGGUAGUGACGAAAAAUAACGGAACGUAUCUCCAUGAGACGCGUUACCGGAACGACUGAGCCGUACACAAGCUCGGCUAAAUCUAUUGGAGGGCAAGUCUGGUGCCAGCAGCCGCGGUAAUUCCAGCUCCAAUAGCGUAUAUUAAAGUUGCUGCGGUUAAACCGCUCGUCGUUGGAUUGCGGAUGUCGACGACGGUCGUCCUAAGC
rnacentral:rRNA from 1 species